AUUGAACGCUGGCGGCAUGCCUUACACAUGCAAGUCGAACGGCAGCACGGGUGCUUGCACCUGGUGGCGAGUGGCGAACGGGUGAGUAAUAUAUCGGAACGUACCUUAUUGUGGGGGAUAACGCAGCGAAAGCUGUGCUAAUACCGCAUAAUCCCUUAGGGGGAAAGCGGGGGACCGUAAGGCCUCGCGCAAUUAGAGCGGCCGAUACCUGAUUAGCUAGUUGGUGAGGUAAAGGCUCACCAAGGCGACGAUCAGUAGCUGGUCUGAGAGGACGAUCAGCCACACUGGGACUGAGACACGGCCCAGACUCCUACGGGAGGCAGCAGUGGGGAAUUAUGGACAAUGGGGGCAACCCUGAUCCAGCAAUGCCGCGUGAGUGAAGAAGGCCUUCGGGUUGUAAAGCUCUUUUGUCAGGGAAGAAACAGCAGCUCUAAUACAGUUUGCGAAUGACGGUACCUGAAGAAUAAGCACCGGCUAACUACGUGCCAGCAGCCGCCGUAA
rnacentral:rRNA from 1 species